GCCACCCUCCUGAACAAGCCUGAUGUCUGAUCUGGGAAGCUAAGCAGGGUUGGGCCUGUUUAGUACUUGGAUGGGAGACCAUCUAGGAAGACCAAGUGUGGAAGGCA
rnacentral:rRNA from 1 species